rnacentral:rRNA from 1 species
UUUUUAUGGAGAGUUUGAUCCUGGCUCAGGAUGAACGCUGGCGGCGUGCCUAAUACAUGCAAGUCGAGCGAACAGACGAGGAGCUUGCUCCUCUGACGUUAGCGGCGGACGGGUGAGUAACACGUGGAUAACCUACCUAUAAGACUGGGAUAACUUCGGGAAACCGGAGCUAAUACCGGAUAAUAUAUUGAACC